GAUGGGACAGGGUUCAGGCAGGUUGGCGAGGUCCCAUAGGGUGCAGCUGACGCCCAUACCCCAAGCAGACAGCAAACAGUUUGCAGCGGCAGAGCAGGAGUGCAUGGCUGGUCGAACGCCGGAGUUACUGUACCGACAAGUUGCUGGCUGGCUGGACGUUUGCUGAUGCGCAUUCCUCACGCUCCGGGCGCCCGGCCGGCGAUAGCACCACCACCCCCCUGGAGUGGAGCCUGCCUGCGCGGGGCCCCUGCUAGCACGCCCGAUGCGACCCCGUCCAUUCCCGCCUACACACACAGCGCCCUGGGACUUCGACGACAACGUCUGGCAGCUGCAAUCACCAGCAUGCCGGUAGGCAAUACACACUCGUGUAUGCGCCGCCUGUGGCCCCCUCCCCUUGGAGUGGAGCUCGCCACCCUCUGCUGCUCUUGCUUGUCCUGCCUCCCCAGCAUCCCCUGCCCUUUGAGACCCCUCUCCUUAGGGCCCCCUCCUCUGGUUCCGUGGACUAAGUGUAUUACGCAAGCACAUGAUCUAUUGAGCUCUUGAAUUGCCCACACCUGUCGUGUCAGAUUUCUUUUCCGACGGUAUCCCCAGUGCCGUACGGCCCUUCCCGUGCGGGGGUUCUGGGGGGCGGAUAGGGGGGUCCCCGACGCCAAACUGGUCUCCCCUGAGUCCCCCACGCUCUCAGCCCCUCCGUGCAUGUAGUAAUGACUUGCUGGCCAAGUGGGAGGGCGGUCCUCGCUCGCCUGAGGUCGAAAUGGGCGGGUUUUGGCCCGCCAGUCAUGCGCCCGAUGGGCGUGUGUCGGUCCGAUUGGGCCAAAGUGUGCUGGAGAGAGCAGUAACUCACUCCAUAUGUUAUUUAGAUACCCAAUAUUGCAUUGGAAUGUAUCCCGGGGCAAAAUGUGAGGCUCUGCCGACCGGCAAUUUCGCGACCGAGGCCCCUCGAGGAGCCAUUUUUUCAAACCGUGACAUAAAAAUGGGAAUUCAAGGCUUUGCUAGGGCUAAAAGCAGCUCUUCGUGCACAAUGUCGGGGCAUGUCGCUGCAUUUCGCGAGCUCGGCGAGCGGGCAGGCCGCGCCAGGGCUUAAAACAACAAGUCAUAACAUACAUAUGUCAUGUAUCAGUAGUGUGUCAGUGGGCUCAAAUGCUCAAUCAGCGGCUCACAAACCGCACAUACCGGUACUGUAAGCACCUGGCAUCAGACCCAACUUACGGGAAUCACACAGAGCCCGUUACCCGAUAUGCGCAACCAAGCCCGAACCCACAUCAGCUUCAACACCCACCGCUCAACGUACGGCACUCAUGUCCGUUUGUCCACUUGCCCACUAUCGUCCAUAGUCACUACCGUCGUGUCCCGCCCACACACUACCGCUGCCGCUUUAGCAGGAUGUCGAACACGCCCGCUCCUGUCACGGGGUCCAGCAAUACCUGCUGCAGCGGGUUGCCAGAGCCGCAGCCGCCGCAGCCGCAGUCGCCGGGACCGUUGAGGGCGCUGCCGGCAAAGUACAUCUGCGUGGAUUUGUGGAGGUGUGGAGGUGUGGAGGUGUGGGUAAGUUGGGUUGGGAGGUUGGCUAUGGGUGUGGGGUGGGGGCGGGGGGCGCGGGUGGGCAGGGGCGCACAUUCAGGGACUGCAAAGAUGCGUUGCGCAGUGCGGUGCGGUGGUCCCCACUCUCCGACCGGUCCCGCCGCCCUUGUCCCCGGGCCCCCGGUCGCCCCGAUCCCGGAUGAUGCAUGUGGAGUAUGUUGGACUGCAUGGGCGGCGGGUCUGUCGCACGCUUGCACCAGGCCUCACCUAGGCUAGGCCAACACCCGUGGGCGGCCCCCGUUGGCCCCUUUGGCCCCCGUCUGCCCCCCCCUUGGCCCGCCCGCCCACCUGCCCUGCUCGGCUCCAGCUCGGCUGCAUUUGGCCCCCCGCGCCCCUGCACCCCUGUAACUAGAACCCUUGGGCUCCCGGCACCUUGGGGACCCCUGCUCCCCCUGUCCGUGCCCGCCCCCCUUUGUCCCCCUGCUGCCCCCGCAGCUAACCACCACCAACUGCCAACCGCCAACUACCACAACCGCCAACCACCACAACUGCCAACCCCCAACUGCCGCCGCCGCACCUGUGUGACCAGCAGCGUGUACCCGGGCAGCGCCAGCCGCAGGUGGAUGUGCGGCGGGCGCAGGCAGUUGCGGGAGCCGUAGGCGGCGGGGAUGAUGGUGGUGUACCUGAAGACAGGGAGUUGGAGGAGGAGCGGGAGGGGGUGAGCUUGGGGGUGAGCGGGAGGUGAGGUGAGCGGGGGGGCCGCGCGGUAAUGGGGGGGGACCGGCGUGGAGGAGGUGGGGUGCCGGUUGGUCGUUGGUCUGAUCAGGGAGUCUUACACACCACUGCGCGUGGUGACGUGCGUGGUCCGAUUCUCAGCUUGACCUACAUCCCGCCCGCCCCGUACAAGUGUUGUGCUUGGCAAAUGGCACACGAGCAUGCACAUGUGCAUGUGCAUGUGCACUGGCUUACCCCAGUACCCACGGCCACAGCCACGCACGCAAGCUUUGCCCCCAAGACACAGGGCCCCUCCCCCGGCUGCCGCCUCCCUGCCCCGGGUCGCCGCCUCCCCUGCUGGCACCACCCCCCUGGAGUGUGUGAUGGGACAGGGUUCAGGCAGGUUGGCGAGGUCCCGUAGGGUGCAGCUGACGCCCAUACCCCAAGCAGACAGCAAACAGUUUGCAGCGGCAGAGCAGGAGUGCAUGGCUGGUCGAACGCCGGAGUUACUGUACCGACAAGUUGCUGGCUGGCUGGACGUUUGCUGAUGCGCAUUCCUCACGCUCCGGGCGCCCGGCCAGGCGAUAGCACCC
rnacentral:lncRNA from 1 species